UUGCCAGACUCCUACGGGAGGCAGCAGUGGGGAAUAUUGCACAAUGGGCGCAAGCCUGAUGCAGCCAUGCCGCGUGUAUGAAGAAGGCCUUCGGGUUGUAAGGUACUUUCAGUCGGGAGGAAGGUGGUAAGGUUAAUAACCUUAUCAAUUGACGUUACCGACAGAAGAAGCACCGGCUAACUCCGUGCCAGCAGCCGCGGUAAUACGGAGGGUGCAAGCGUUAAUCGGAAUUACUGGGCGUAAAGCGCACGCAGGCGGUUGAUUGAGUCAGAUGUGAAAUCCCCGGGCUCAACCUGGGAACUGCAUUCGAAACUGGCAGGCUGGAGUCUUGGAGAGGGGGGUAGAAUUCCAGGUGUAGCGGUGAAAUGCGUAGAGAUCUGGAGGAAUACCGGUGGCGAAGGCGGCCCCCUGGACAAAGACUGACGCUCAGGUUCGAAAGCGUGGGGAGCAAACAGGAUUAGAUACCCUCGUAA
rnacentral:rRNA from 1 species